rnacentral:rRNA from 1 species
ACCCGCUACGGCGGGUUCGUGGGUGACUGCGUGCCUUUUGCAUUAUGAUCCGGCGAGUUGCUCCUCACGUGCGAGGUUAAGGCCUUAGGGGCCGGAGCCGAAGCGAAAGCGAGUCUGAAGAGGGCGAUGAGAGUACGUGGGGGCAGACCCGAAACCGAAGCGAUCUAUCCAUGGCCAGGGUGAAGCCGGGGUAACACCUGGUGGAGGCCCGAACCGAUGUGGGUUGAAAACUGCUCGGAUGAGCUGUGGAUAGGGGUGAAAGGCCAAUCAAGCUCGGAGAUAGCUGGUUCUCCCCGAAAUAUAUUUUGGUAUAGCCUCAGGGAUGUCUGCGGGAGGUAGAGCACUGCAUGGGUAAGGGGCCUUACCCGGUUACCGACCCCAAGCAAACUCCGAAUGCCUGACAGAUGGACCCUGGGAGUCAGUGGGCGAGCGAUAAUGUCCGUCCGCGAGAGGGGAACAGCCCAGACCGUCGGCUAAGGCCCCGGAGUGCAUGCUAAGUGAGAAAGGAUGUGGAGUUGCAGAGACAACUAGGAGGUUGGCUUAGAAGCAGCCAUGCCUUUAAAGAGUGCGUAAUAGCUCACUAGUCAAGUGGCUCUGCGCCGAUAAUGGUCGGGACUCAAGCAUGCCGCCGAAGCUACGGAUGGGGCACUCUUUAGGGAGUGCGACAUGGUAGGGGAGCGUUCCCUGGGCGACGAAGCCUCCUCGUGAGAGCAGGGGUGGAGCGCAGGGAAGUGAGGAUGCCGGAAUGAGUACGCGAGAAACAGAGUGGGAAUCUCUGUCACCGAAAGCCCAAGGGUUCCGGAGCCAGGCUGAUCCGCUCCGGGUUAGUCGGACCCUAAGCCGAGGCCGAGAGGCGUAGGCGAUGGGAGACAGGUCAAUAUUCCUGUACCACAGCGAGUGCGUAUGACCCCAAGGGGGGACGCGGGGGUGACAGAACCGUCGGUUGGUGGACUAUCCGAUGCAAGGAGGUAGGCGAUGGGGGGCAGGCAAAUCCGCCCUCUUAGCCGAGCACCGAUGCCGAAGGGGUCUUCGGACCCCGCCAAGGGUUCAUAAUCAGACCGCCGAGAAAAGCCUCGUGGGGGAGUGCUGGCUGUGACCGUACCGUAAACGGACACACGUAGGCGAGGCGAGAAGCCUAAGGUGCUCGAGUGAUUUGCGGAGAAGGAACUCGGCAAAAUGUCCCCGUAACUUCGGGAGAAGGGGAGCCCGUAGUAGGUGAAGUCCUUCGCGGACGGAGCCGAGGCGGGACGCAGAGAAUCGGCCCAAGCGACUGUUUAGUAAAAACACAGGUGUCUGCAAAGUCGUCAAGACGACGUAUAGGCACUGACGCCUGCCCGGUGCCGGAAGGUUAAAAGGAGAGGUCAGUCUCUUCGGAGGCGAAGCUUUGAAUUGAAGCCCCGGUAAACGGCGGCCGUAACUAUAACGGUCCUAAGGUAGCGAAAUUCCUUGUCGGGUAAGUUCCGACCUGCACGAAUGGCGUAACGAUCUGGGCGCUGUCUCCUCCGCAAGCGCGGCGAAAUUGGAGUAU